rnacentral:rRNA from 1 species
UACAGAGGGGGCAAGCGUUAUUCGGAAUUAUUGGGCGUAAAGGGCGCGUAGGCGGCAUGGCAAGUGGAUGGUGAAAUCCCUCGGCUUAACAGGAACUGCCGUCCAAACUGCUUCGCUUGAGACCGGGAGAGGUGAGUGGAAUUCCCAGUGUAGCGGUGAAAUGCGUAGAUAUUGGGAGGAACACCAGUGGCGAAGGCGGCUCACUGGACCGGUACUGACGCUGAAGCGCGAAAGCGUGGGGAGCAAACGGG